rnacentral:tRNA from 1 species
GGCGCUAUCGUCUAGUGGUUAGGACACUUGGUUUUCAACCAAGUAAUCGGGGUUCGACUCCCCGUAGCGCCG